UACAGAGGGUGCAAACGUUGCUCGGAAUCACUGGGCGUAAAGCGCACGUAGGCGGACUUGUCAGUCAGGGGUGAAAUCCCGGGGCUCAACCUCGGAACUGCCUCUGAUACAGCAAGUCUCGAGUCCGGAAGAGGUGGGUGGAAUUCCUAGUGUAGAGGUGAAAUUCGUAGAUAUUAGGAAGAACACCGGUGGCGAAGGCGGCCCACUGGUCCGGUACUGACGCUGAGGUGCGAAAGCGUGGGGAGCAAACAGG
rnacentral:rRNA from 1 species